rnacentral:rRNA from 1 species
AUUGAACGCUGGCGGCAUGCCUAACACAUGCAAGUCGAACGGCAGCACGGUCUAGUUUACUAGAUGGGUGGCGAGUGACGGACGGGUGAGUAAUGCGCAGGAAUAUGCCUUAAAGAGGGGGAUAACUUGGGGAAACUCAAGCUAAUACCGCAUAAUCUCUGAGGAGAGAAGCUGGGGACCUUCGGGCCUGGCGCUUUAAG